rnacentral:rRNA from 1 species
UACGUAGGGUCCGAGCGUUGUCCGGAAUUAUUGGGCGUAAAGGGCUCGUAGGCGGUUUGUCACGUCGGGAGUGAAAACUCAGGGCUCAACCCUGAGCGUGCUUCCGAUACGGGCAGACUAGAGGUAUGCAGGGGAGAACGGAAUUCCUGGUGUAGCGGUGGAAUGCGCAGAUAUCAGGAGGAACACCGGUGGCGAAGGCGGUUCUCUGGGCAGUACCUGACGCUGAGGAGCGAAAGCAUGGGGAGCGAACAGG